rnacentral:rRNA from 1 species
GACGAACGCUGGCGGCGUGCUUAACACAUGCAAGUCGAACGGAAAGGCCCUGCUUUUGUGGGGUGCUCGAGUGGCGAACGGGUGAGUAACACGUGAGUAACCUGCCCUUGACUUUGGGAUAACUUCAGGAAACUGGGGCUAAUACCGGAUAGGAGCUCCUGCUGCAUGGUGGGGGUUGGAAAGUUUCGGCGGUUGGGGAUGGACUCGCGGCUUAUCAGCUUGUUGGUGGGGUAGUGGCUUACCAAGGCUUUGACGGGUAGCCGGCCCGAGAGGGUGACCGGCCACAUUGGGACUGAGAUACGGCCCAGACUCCUACGGGAGGCAGCAGUGGGGAAUAUUGCACAAUGGGCGGAAGCCUGAUGCAGGAACGCCGCGUGCGGGAUGACGGCCUUCGGGUUGUAAACCGCUUUCGCCUGUGACGAAGCGUGAGUGACGGUAAUGGGUAAAGAAGCACCGGCUAACUACGUG